rnacentral:misc_RNA from 1 species
UUUUUUUAUUUUUCUUUCAUUUUAGUGCCAAGCUGGAUAGACUAGUCCCAGCUCUAUCUUACACGCGUUCUCAUAAGACUCGAGUUUCCUUUUCUUCACUGGUACCACGUGACUUGCACGAGAGACGGGCUCAAGCCCCAGGGUCAACUCCAGUCCAAGUCCAGCGAUUUCCGUACUAACAUGAUCGUGGACACCCUCAUUGCCCUUCGCGGCUGACUCCGGCUCGGCUCCGAACAGCAGCGGAGCCUCAGCCGUUUCCUCGGAGACCAUGCUUUCCGUGUCUUUGCUCUCGCCUUCCACCAUUGCCAACUCCGACAGGUGACUCACCGAUGACUCGUGACUAAUGGACCGAGUCAGCUCACCCCGUGCUGUUGUCUCCAACACGGAGCCGAAUCCAACGCCACCACUUGGUUUGUUGUUAUUACCAACUUUCAGCUUCUCAACCCUCCUAACCCGGCAACGCGUCUUGACUCGGUUGGGAUCUUUGGAAGCAGAAGAGUUUUCAUCCUUGGACACGUGACGGAUAUCGUAAGCCUUCAACGGAGGUCCAUGGCCAUUGGCGGCCGCUUCAGAGUUGAUCGGAGUGAUCGGAGUUCCUUUUAGAACGGCUUCGACGGCGGCUUGGCAGAGCUGCCAGCUCCCGG